rfam:Yersinia ruckeri strain 37551 YRO1b0000027, whole genome shotgun sequence.
AUUUAUACCCAAUAGAUUUCAAGGCGUAGGAAGGCGGUGAACGAGAGUAGCCAACACAUCUACAAUUUGAAAGCUGACGGGUUGUUGCCGUGGAAACUUUUGGCCCAUCUUACGAUGGGCUUUUUU